GUAUGCCUACGGGGCGCAGCAGUGGGGAUAUUGCACAAUGGGGGGAACCCUGAUGCAGCGACGCCGCGUGGGCGAUGGAGUGCUUCGGCAUGUAAAGCCCUGUCAGCAGGGAAGAAAAUGACGGUACCUGACUAAGAAGCCCCGGCUAAAUACGUGCCAGCAGCCGCGGUAAUACGUAUGGGGCAAGCGUUAUCCGGAUUUACUGGGUGUAAAGGGAGCGUAGGCGGCCUGGCAAGCCUGAUGGGAAAUACCGGGGCCCAACCCCGGGACUGCACUGG
rnacentral:rRNA from 1 species